GUAACACGUGGAUAACCUGCCUCAAGGCUGGGGAUAACAUUUGGAAACAGAUGCUAAUACCGAAUAAAACUUAGUAUCGCAUGAUAUAAAGUUAAAAGGCGCUACGGCGUCACCUAGAGAUGGAUCCGCGGUGCAUUAGUUAGUUGGUGGGGUAAAGGCUUACCAAGACAAUGAUGCAUAGCCGAGUUGAGAGACUGAUCGGCCACAUUGGGACUGAGACACGGCCCAAACUCCUACGGGAGGCUGCAGUAGGGAAUCUUCCACAAUGGGCGCAAGCCUGAUGGAGCAACGCCGCGUGUGUGAUGAAGGCUUUCGGGUCGUAAAGCACUGUUGUAUGGGAAGAAAUACUAAAAUAGGGAAUGAUUUUAGUUUGACGGUACCAUACCAGAAAGGGACGGCUAAAUACGUGCCAGCAGCCGCGGUAAUACGUAUGUCCCGAGCGUUAUCCGGAUUUAUUGGGCGUAAAGCGAGCGCAGACGGUUGAUUAAGUCUGAUGUGAAAGCCCGGAGCUCAACUCCGGAAUGGCAUUGGAAACUGGUUAACUUGAGUGUUGUAGAGGUAAGUGGAACUCCAUGUGUAGCGGUGGAAUGCGUAGAUAUAUGGAAGAACACCAGUGGCGAAGGCGGCUUACUGGACAACAACUGACGUUGAGGCUCGAAAGUGUGGGUAGCAAACAGGAUUAGAUACCCUGGUAGUCCACACCGUAAACGAUGAAUACUAGGUGUUAGGAGGUUUCCGCCUCUUAGUGCCGAAGCUAACGCAUUAAGUAUUCCGCCUGGGGAGUACGACCGCAAGGUUGAAACUCAAAGGAAUUGACGGGGACCCCGCACAAGCGGUGGGAGCAUGUGGUUUAAUUU
rnacentral:rRNA from 1 species